UACGGGGGGGCAAGCGUUGUUCGGAAUUACUGGGCGUAAAGGGCUCGUAGGCGGCCAACUAAGUCAGACGUGAAAUCCCUCGGCUUAACCGGGGAACUGCGUCUGAUACUGGAUGGCUUGAGAUUGGGAGAGGGAUGCGGAAUUCCAGGUGUAGCGGUGAAAUGCGUAGAUAUCUGGAGGAACACCGGUGGCGAAGGCGGAUCUCUGGGCCGUAACUGACGCUGAGGCGCGACAGCGUGGGGAGCAAACAGG
rnacentral:rRNA from 1 species